CUCGCCUGCGGGGAGCGCUGACGUCAGGACUGCAGUCCCGGGGAGAGCGGCUCCGCGCCCCGCGCCUCAGCGCCAGAGCUGCGCUGAGAGUCGUCCCGGAGGACGGGCGGGUCCGCGGGCCGGGCCGGGCCGCACGGAAGCCGAGAGUCGGACGGAGGCGGCCCAAGCGGGAGCGGCGCAGCCUCGGGGCCGCUGCGGGAGGCGGCUCGGCCCCGGCCAGGGCGGCCGCUCCCCCGGAUCCGGGCCGGCGGCGGAGCCGCUUCCCCCGCGCCGCCCUCCGCGGCUGCGCUGCGCGGACGUGGGGCUCCGGGUGCCGCGGAGCAGCUGCCGGCGAGAGAGCAAGCGGAGCCCGGCCCGAAGAUUAUCCCCUUGGACACUGAGAUUAAUGUCUUCCAUCCAUGAACAAAACUCUUUCUGCAGCAAGAAAUAUUGAAUAUGGGCAGACCAUGUGGCGAGAAUGACUGAGACCAACUUGAAGCUUGUGGAAUUUGAUCUUAGCCUUGUUAGUGGCACCUGACAUCAGAAAGACAAUAGAGUUACGACUCAGAUGAACUCUGGUGGAGGCUGGUGAUGAGGUUGCACGCUAUGGACAUUGCUAAAUUGUCGUCUCAGUCCGAGUGUGUGCUGCUUCCUACUGGGGACAUCACUGCAGCCAAGCAGUAUUUUGGAUAUUUGUGAGGGUUUUCCUGGCACUCAUUGGCUAUGAACCAAAUAUGUGGUCAUCGAGACAGUCUCAAACAAUAAUAAAUGAUUCCCUAUAUGACAGAUCAUGAGAAAUUGAUCCAAUAAGCAGUGCGAGCCUGCAAUCUCACGGAGGCGGAGCAGGGAUUCCAGUUGGAAGGCUGUGACCAUCACCCCGGCUGGAAACACCAUGCACGCUGCCUCAUCCUCCCCAGGACUCAGGAGCAGGUUCUUGCGUGUGCUGUGUUCUUUACAUAUCACAGACCUACACGUGGAUGUAAGCAGGAGAAGUGGAUGCCAUGAGUCCACUCAUAGGAUUUUCAGUGUAACAUCAGAUGGCAGGCAGACAAGGCUGUGGCUGACACAAUCCUCUCUGGUCAGCCCAACAGAGUUGCUGAAGUGCUUGCUGGGACCAACAUAUGAUGAGGUGGUGAAGUGCAGUAUAAUUAAGACAGGGAAACAGAAAUGCUCAGAUGGACUGGAGGCUGGGUCUGUGAGCUCAGUUCACCAUAAGGUUCAAGUGGCCUAGAGAUGAGAAGAUCCUGUGGAAGGAGAAUAUAUAGCUUCCUUACAUGAAAUGAAGGAGAAAUGACUCAUACAAAGUCAGCCAAGUAUCUUCAAGAUCUGGGAAACAAUUUCACGUCAAGUCCAUAAUUUCUGUGCUAGCACAUACAGACCAUGACCACCUGACUCUUGAAGUAGUCGGUAUCUAUAUGUUUUGAAAUAAUCCUUCAGCUCUACUCUACCCCUGAUGAACAGUAACCUAGAAGAGUUCUACAAAGUGAAAGACUUUUUAUGAGUCUGUAGUUUGAGGAUGAACUAUUAUUUCAUCUUCAAAGGGCACACUAAAUGUAAAUGCAAUUGGUAUUUAAGAUGAUUUAACAUCAGAAAGACAGUAUCACAUAUGCAUGGCCUGGAAUAACAUCGGAAAUUUGGUGGGCGCUCUGUAGGCACUGGGGUCAUGAGGAGGAGCUGCCUUAGCUGUCAUCCAGAUGCAUUUGUGUUACCAUGGAAACAGGAG
ensembl:lncRNA